rnacentral:snRNA from 1 species
GGGCUUGUUCAGAAGCCCAUAGUAAAAUAGUAAUAAUACAGGGAAAGAUUAGCCUGGCUCCUCUACAAGGCAUGUACACUCAUGAAAGUCAUCAUUUUUAU